GCUGCUGUGGUGUAGUGGUCUGAGUGUUGGACUACAUCUCUGGAGACCAGGGUUCGAUUCCCAGCUUAGCC